rnacentral:tRNA from 1 species
GCAUUGGUGGUUCAGUGGUAGAUUUCUCACCUUCAUGUGAGUGACCCAGGUUCGACUCCCUGCCAGUGCA